AACGAACGCUGGCGGCAGGCCCUAACACAUGCAAGUCGAGCGAGAUCUUCGGAUCUAGCGGCGGACGGGUGAGUAACGCGUGGGAAUAUGCCCUUCUCUACGGAAUAGCCACUGGAAACGGUGAGUAAUGCCUUAUACGCCCUUCGGGGGAAAGAUUUAUCGGAGAAGGAUCGGCCCGCGUUAGAUUAGAUAGUUGGUGGGGUAAUGGCCUACCAAGUCUACGAUCUAUAGCUGGUUUGAGAGGAUGAUCAGCAACACUGGGACUGAGACACGGCCCAGACUCCUACGGGAGGCAGCAGUGGGGAAUCUUAGACAAUGGGCGCAAGCCUGAUCUAGCCAUGCCGCGUGAGUGAUGAAGGCCUUAGGGUCGUAAAGCUCUUUCGCCUGUGAAGAUAAUGACUGUAGCAGGUAAAGAAACCCCGACUAACUCCGUG
rnacentral:rRNA from 1 species